rnacentral:rRNA from 1 species
AUGGCACAUAUUUAGGGCAUCUGAGAUAUGUUAAAGAUUUAUCGGUAUAAGAUGGGCAUGCGUCUGAUUAGCUAGUUGGCGGUGUAACGGACCACCAAGGCGACGAUCAGUAGGGGUUCUGAGAGGAAGGUCCCCCACACUGGCACUGAGAUACGGGCCAGACUCCUACGGGAGGCAGCAGUAGGGAAUAUUGGGCAAUGGUCGGAAGACUGACCCAGCCAUGCCGCGUGCAGGAAGACGGCCCUCUGGGUUGUAAACUGCUUUUAUCUGGGAAGAAAAAGGCCAUGCGUGGCAAAUUGCCGGUACCAGAUGAAUAAGCACCGGCUAACUCCGUGCCAGCAGCCGCGGUAAUACGGAGGGUGCAAGCGUUGUCCGGAUUUAUUGGGUUUAAAGGGUGCGUAGGCGGCUGAAUAAGUCAGCGGUGAAAGACUCCGGCUUAACCGGAGCAGUGCCGUUGAUACUGUUUAGCUUGAGUUCUGCAGGGGUACAUGGAAUUGAUGAUGUAGCGGUAGAAA